UUGCCGCUGCCCGAGCUGCGGGUGCCGGCCUCGCGGGCCAGGCCGGUGUCGAUCAGGCGCCGGCAGAUGUUCGACACCGUCUGCGCCGAC
rnacentral:tRNA from 1 species